UGGGAUUACUCCACAGAGGCAUGAUGAGGU
rnacentral:piRNA from 1 species